rnacentral:rRNA from 1 species
GAUGAACGCUGGCGGCGUGCUUAACACAUGCAAGUCGAACGAAGCACUGUAUUUGAUUUCCUUCGGGACUGAUUAUUUUGUGACUGAGUGGCGGACGGGUGAGUAACGCGUGGGUAACCUGCCUUGUACAGGGGGAUAACAGUUGGAAACGGCUGCUAAUACCGCAUAAGCGCCCGGCAUCGCAUGAUGCAGUGUGAAAAACUCCGGUGGUAUAAGAUGGACCCGCGUUGGAUUAGCUAGUUGGUGAGGUAACGGCCCACCAAGGCGACGAUCCAUAGCCGAGCUGAGAGGGUGAGCGGCCACAUUGGGAGUGAGACACGGCGCAGACUCCUACGGGAGGGAGCAGAGGGGAAUAUUGCAAAAUGGGCGAAAGCCUGAUGGAGCUACGCCGCGUGAGCGAAGAAGUAUUGCGGUAUGUAAAGCUCUAUCAGAAGGGAAGAUAAUGACGGUACCUGAAUAAGAAGCACCGGCUAAAUACGUG